UAUCAGCCUUAUUGUGAAACCCUCCCUUGUUAUUAUAAAACCUCCAAAAUACACUUAAACCGACAACAAAUUCCUCAGAGCUUCAAGCGAGGAAAAUAGGUGAAGCUUGAUUCAAAGUUGUGAAAUAUUUGAGAAAACUGCCAACAUGGUUGGGUGGAAUGAAAGAACUCCGGGAAAAAUAAACAAGUUGGGUUUGGCGGAAAACCCUAUGAAGCCUUCGCCGGUCAAAACAAGAGCAUCUCCCCCAAAAAGGUUUAGCAAUAAGGUGGACAUGAGAGCGGAAUCAAUUGGGUUCCUCCAGACAGGCUUAGAUUCCAUCAAAAGUGGCACUAAACAAAUAAAGGAGAAUUUAAAGUCUAGGAAACUUUCAUUGACAGCCAUACCUCCCAUCUCAGCCUUUGGUGAAUUACCAGGCUUAAAAUCGAUAUCAAUGUUUGGAAAUUCCUCCGGUCCGGGCUCAACUUCCGCGACAGGCCAAUCCUCACAGCAAGGAAAAUUCACCAGGUCAGGCUCAUCUUACGGGACAAGCCAAUCUUCCUACCAAACCCCUGAUGAAAGUUAUUACGAUAGAAUGAAAUCAAGGCUAGAAAGUUCCUUCAGAUUGGACUCACCUUCCGGGACAGAUCAAUCUUCCCUCCCACCCAAUGAUAAUUCAACGGUAGGAAGUUCCUCCAGGUUGGGCUCAUAAAAAAAAAGCAGCAAACAAAACUAGGGAAAAAAAAGAAGGAACUCUUUUAAUGUCAUAGUGAUCAGCCAAAUGAUCAAUCAUUGCAAUUAGUACUACCAACCAACCAUAAUAAAAUAUGGAACUCUUUUAAUGUCAUGUCUAAAUAAUGUCUAGCAACUAUUGUGGAGAAAUAAUAUCCCUUUACUAGUGCUAGCCAAUGUUAUGUUCUUGUAUCUUCUUUUUAUUUUAUUUUACUUUUUGCUCCAUCGAUUUGUCUUUCAUUUUAAUCUUCCAAAUUUGAUUACAAUAUCUAUCUAUUAUU